UACGUAGGGUGCGAGCGUUAAUCGGAAUUACUGGGCGUAAAGCGUGCGCAGGCGGUUCGUUGUGUCGGCGGUGAAAGCCCCGGGCUUAACCUGGGAAUGGCCGUUGAAACUGGCGAACUGGAGUGUGGCAGAGGGGGGUGGAAUUCCGCGUGGUAGCAGUGAAAUGCGUAGAGAUGCGGAGGAACACCGAUGGCGAAGGCAGCCCCCUGGGCUAACACUGACGCCUCGAGGCACGAAAGCGGUGGGGAGCAAACAGG
rnacentral:rRNA from 1 species